rnacentral:rRNA from 1 species
CGGUAGCCGCGGGAAUACGGAUGGUGCAAGCGUUAUCCGGAUUUAUUGGGUUUAAAGGGUCCGUAGGCGGACUUAUAAGUCAGUGGUGAAAGCCUGUCGCUUAACGAUAGAACUGCCAUUGAUACUGUAAGUCUUGAGUAUAUUUGAGGUAGCUGGAAUAAGUAGUGUAGCGGUGAAAUGCAUAGAUAUUACUUAGAACACCAAUUGCGAAGGCAGGUUACCAAGAUAUAACUGACGCUGAGGGACGAAAGCGUGGGUAGCGAACAGGAUUAGAUACCCCUGUAGUCCCUGUCUCUUAUAC